AUUGAACGCUGGCGGCAUGCCUUACACAUGCAAGUCGAACGGCAGCACGGGGGCAACCCUGGUGGCGAGUGGCGAAAGGGUGAGUAAUGCAUCGGAACGUGCCCAGUAGUGGGGGAUAACCAGACGAAAGACUCGCUAAUACCGCAUACGACCUACGGGUGAAAGCGGGGAACCGUAAGGCCUCGCGCUAUUGGAGCGGCCGAUGUCUGAUUAGCUAGUUGGCGGGGUAAGGGCCCACCAAGGCGACGAUCAGUAGCUGGUCUGAGAGGACGACCAGCCACACUGGGACUGAGACACGGCCCAGACUCCUACGGGAGGCAGCAGUGGGGAAUUUUGGACAAUGGGCGCAAGCCUGAUCCAGCCAUGCCGCGUGCGGGAAGAAGGCCUUCGGGUUGUAAACCGCUUUUGGCAGGAACGAAACGGCGCAAGCCAAUACCUUGCGCUAAUGACGGUACCUGCAGAAUAAGCACCGGCUAACUACGUGCCAGCAGCCGCGGUAAAAC
rnacentral:rRNA from 1 species